CACCAUCUCUGUCAUGUACAACAAUUGAUAUCCUAUUUCCCAAAACAAAAAACAAUCGGACACUAUCUCUCUCAAAGAAAAUCGGACUCCUCUCUCUCAAUCUGACAAACACGCACAACAUCCCCCACCGCCUUCUGCUCCGGCGAAGGGCGCCGCCCUCGGCCACCGCGACCACCGGCAUCUCCCCUUUCGCCUCUCGCUCCCUGUUCUUCCCCUUCUAUCACUCACCGCGCACGGCGAGGCCGCACAUGCAGCGCCGCCUCCGUCGCCACGCCGCCGCCGCGGUCACCAUCUCCACGCCUUCCACCUGUAAUUUGCGGCCUUUCUACCUCUCGAUUUUCUACCCGAGCCUCGACGCGCUCGUCUGCCGCCUACGCGCAGCCCUCGAGGACAAUGGCGGCAGGCACGAUACCUUCUCGCCGCCGCGACCCGGAAACCUGCGACGCUGCCCCUGCCUUCGUCGAUAACCCUAGCUAUUCGAAUUUCUGCUGUCGUCUGAUUUUGAAGUUUAAAUCAUUCAGCGAAUUUGAAUUUGGGCUCCACAUUUUGGAGCCAAAAUUGCAGAUUUUUGGCAAUGCCCAGCAUACAGCAAAGACGGAAAUUGCCCACUGGAUAAAACAAAGCUUCAAUUGGCUGGAAAACAGAGGUUGGCAAAAGUAUGCAUUCAUAGUCUUUAGAUUGUGGCAAGUUUAUUUUCUUUUUGUUUUUUAUGUAAUUACUUUUAAAUUUAAAAUGCAGAAGUAAAAAAUAAAAUAGUAUUAGAACA